GACGAAGGUUGCGAGCGUUGUUCGGAAUCACUGGGCUUAAAGCGCAUGUAGGCGGACAAGAAAGCGUUUUGUGAAAUACCCCGGCUUAACCGGGGAAUUGCUUGGCGAACUUCUUGUCUUGAGGCAAGCAGGGGUGCAUGGAACUCUUGGUGGAGCGGUGGAAUGCGUAGAUAUCAAGAGGAACGCCAGCGGAGAAAUCGGUGCACUGGGCUUGUUCUGACGCUGAGAUGCGAAAGCGUGGGGAGCAAACGGGAUUAGAUACCCCGGUAGUCCACGCCCUAAACAAUGCCUACUAGGUCGUAGGAACUCUGACGUUCUUAUGGCCGAAGCAAAAGUGUUAAGUAGGCCGCCUGGGGAGUACGGUCGCAAGGCUAAA
rnacentral:rRNA from 1 species